GAGGGUAUAGCUCAGUGGUAGACCGCAUGCUUAACAUGCAUAAGGUCCUGGGUUCAAACCCCAGUACCUCCA
rfam:Camelus ferus unplaced genomic scaffold scaffold2622, whole genome shotgun sequence.